rnacentral:rRNA from 1 species
CCCUUAGAUGUUCUGGGCCGCACGCGCGCUACACUGACGAAUGCAACGAGCUUAUAACCUUGGCCGAAAGGUCUGGGUAAUCUCCAAAUUUCGUCGUGAUGGGGAUAGAUUAUUGCAAUUAUUAAUCUUCAACGAGGAAUGCCUAGUAAGCGCAAGUCAUCAGCUUGCGUUGAUUACGUCCCUGCCCUUUGUACACACCGCCCGUCGCUCCUACCGAUUGAAUGGUCCGGUGAAGCGUUCGGACCGUGGCCUUUGGACGGUUCGCCGUCUGUUGGCUUCGGGAAGUUCGUUAAACCUUAUCAUUUAGAGGAAGGAGAAGUCGUANCA